rnacentral:rRNA from 1 species
CGUGUAGGCGGUACCAUAAGUCAGAUGUGAAAGCCCUAGGCUUAACCUAGGAGGUGCAUUUGAUACUGUGGAACUAGAGAUCGAGAGAGGAAAGUGGAAUUACGAGUGUAGAGGUGAAAUUCGUAGAUAUUCGUAAGAACACCAGUGGCGAAGGCGACUUUCUGGCUCGAUACUGACGCUAAGGCGCGAAAGCGUGGGGAGCAAACAGGAUUAGAUACCCUGGUAGUCCACGCUGUAAACGAUGAGUGCUAGAUGUUGGUGGAGGAAUUCAUCAGUGUCGCAGCUAACGCAUUAAGCACUCCGCCUGGGGAGUACGGUCGCAAGAUUAAA